GCGGAGCCAAGGCCUAGUGAGGGUGGCGUCAAGGACUCCAGAGCGGCUGGUGCUGGGCGGUGGCUGCGUGGCCGCUCUGUCUGUGAGGCCUGGGAAACAAAAGUCAAAUGGAAGCAUCAACUCGGGAUUGUUUUGGGAAAGAACUAUCCAAUUUGGUGAAAAUAAAAAGGUUCAUCGGGGAUGAUUCCUGUUUAUCUGCAUUAGGAGAAGUCUGGGAAUGUGAGGACCAGGUAGAAAUGCUCCAUAGAAAUCCAGAGGUGCGUUUGAGGCAAACAGCAUCCACACACAAGGACCCAGAGCAUCUAUGAGGGGCUGUGGUCACCAUGACCAUUGUGGUCAUCUGCUCAGUCCUAGCUUCAUGUCAAAGAGGUCCUCAAACAACAGGUUUCUGUGAACAUGACUCCAAGGUUAAACAUUUUAGUUACAUACAUAAUUGUCAGAAAGGCUCUAACAGUCAAAUUCUUGAGGAAAAUGAUGACUGUAGAGCAGCCAUCAGCCAGGGUGGACAACCUAGCCACCUUGAUGAAGAUCUAACAAGGAGAUGAGCCUUCAAAAUGUAACGAAGGUGAUAACUCCUUCAGCCUUUCUGCACACCUUAGUGAACAACAUGUAGUUGCCAGAGAAAGGAAUGACACAAAGGAGAAGGACAUGAGGUGGUGUUUGAUAAGGACACAUGGAGGUAUCUCUGGAAAUGAAUACAAUGACAGUGAAUGUGGACUGUCCGUUAGAAAUCUAAUUUCAUCAGUCACCAGAGGACUCAUACUGGAGAGAGCCCUUAUACCUGUAAUGACUGUGGAAAAUCCCUCUCUAAGAAUUACAACCUGAUUGUACAUCAAAAAAUCCACACAGGAGAGAAAUCCUAUAAGUGCAAUAAGUGGAAAAGCCUUCAAUGCUGGCUCCACCUUUACCAAGCAUGAGAAGACCCACAUAGGAAAGAAGCCCUGUGAAAGGAAUUGAUAUGGGAAGGUCUUCAGCUGCCACUCUUCCCUUGUUUUGCAUUUCAGAAGUCAUACUGGGGAAAAACUAUUCGAAUGUAAUGAAUGUGAAAAAUCCUUUUCUGAUGUCUCCCACCUUAUUGUCCAUCUGAGAAUUCACAUGUGAGGGGAGCCCUAUGUAUGUACUGGGCAUAGAAAGGCCUUCAUUGAUCACACAUAACUUAUUAAACAUGGGAGAAUUCACAUUGGAAAGAGACCCUAUAUGUGUAUGGAGUGUGGAAAAUUCUCCAACCACAACAGUCACCUCUUUUGCAUCAAAUAAAUCAUUCUGGAAAGAAAUCUCAUGAGUUAAACAAUGUGAAAAAAACUUUCACUGAAAUUAUGUACCUCAUCAGGCACAAGAGGAUUCAUACUGGUGAGAAGGUCUGUGGCUGUAACCAGUGUCAAAUUUUUCAGGAACAUCACGGGCCUCAUCUGGCACCAGAGGACUCAUACUGGUGAGAAGCCCUACGAGUGUAAUCGGUGUGGCAAAGCCUUCAGGGACAGCUCCUGUCUGACCAAGCACAAGAAGGUACAUGCUCAGGCAACCUUGUGCCAGUGUGUCUAGUGUGGGAAAGUUUUCCCAAGUAUCUGUGCUCUUGCUAGACACCAGAGUUGACACAUUGGACUGACACCUAUGGGGAUUCAGUGAGCAUCUGUGGCAGUGACUGAUCUGAUUCUCUUUGCUUACGCAUUGUCAGAGACUUCAUGUUGAAGAGUUUAUGUUGUUUGAAAGUAACAAAUCUGUUUUUCCAUCUAUGAAUGGAAGAACAAAUCCUG